ACAUGCAAGUCGAGCGAGAAAGUGGAGCAAUCCAUGAGUAAAGCGGCGCACGGGUGAGUAACACGUGACUAACCUACCCUCGAGUGGGGAAUAACUUCGGGAAACCGAGGCUAAUACCGCAUAAUACCCACGGGUCAAAGGAGAAAUCCGCUUGGGGAGGGGGUCGCGGCCGAUUAGUUAGUUGGCGGGGUAAUGGCCCACCAAGACGAUGAUCGGUAUCCGGCCUGAGAGGGCGCACGGACACACUGGAACUGAAACACGGUCCAGACUCCUACGGGAGGCAGCAGUGGGGAAUUUUGCGCAAUGGGGGAAACCCUGACGCAGCAACGCCGCGUGGAGGAUGAAGUCCUUCGGGACGUAAACUCCUUUCGAUCGGGACGAUUAUGACGGUACCGGAACAAGAAGCCCCGGCUAACUUCGUGCCAGCAGCCGCGGUAAUACGAGGGGGGCGAACGUUGUUCGGAAUUAUUGGGCGUAAAGGGUGCGUACGCCGGUUGGUAAGUCUGAUGUGAAA
rnacentral:rRNA from 1 species